GACGAACGCUGGCGGCGUGCUUAACACAUGCCAGUCGAACGGAAAGGCCCUGCUUUUGUGGGGUGCUCGAGUGGCGAACGGGUGAGUAACACGUGAGUAACCUGCCCUUGUCUUUGGGAUAACUUCAGGAAACUGGGGCUAAUACAGGAUAGGAGCUCCUGCUGCAUGGUGGGGGUUGGAAAGUUUCGGCGGUUGGGGAUGGACUCGCGGCUUAUCAGCUUGUUGGUGGGGUAGUGGCUUACCAAGGCUUUGACGGGUAGCCGGCCUGAGAGGGUGACCGGCCACAAGGGGCCUGAGGGACGGCCCAGACUCGUACGGGAGGCAGCAGUGGGGAAUAUUGCGCAAUGGGCGGAAGCCAGAUGCAGCAACGCCGCGUGCGUGAUGACGGCCUUCUGGGUGUAAACCGCUUUCGCCUGUGACGAAGCGUGAGUGACGGUAAUGGGUAAAGAAGCACCGGCUAACUACGUG
rnacentral:rRNA from 1 species